CUACGGGGGGCAGCAGCUAAGAAUCUUCCGCAAUGGGGGAAACCCUGACGGAGCGACGCCGCGUGGAUGAAGAAGGCCUAACGGUUGUAAAGUCCUUUUAUGGUGGAGGAAUAAUGGAAGUAGGGAAUGACUUUCAGAUGACGUUAAACCAUGAAUAAGCCCCGGCUAAUUACGUGCCAGCAGCCGCGGUAACACGUAAGGGGCAAGCGUUGUUCGGAUUCAUUGGGCGUAAAGGGCAUGUAGGCGGCAUGGCAAGUCUGGUGUGAAAUAUCUCGGCUCAACCGAGGGACCGCAUUGGAAACUGUCAAGCUAGAGUAUCGGAGGGGAAGCUAGAAUUCCUGGUGUAGGGGUGAAAUCUGUAGAUAUCAGGAAGAAUACCGGUGGCGAAGGCGAGCUUCUGGCCAGAUACUGACGCUGAGAUGCGAAAGCGUGGGGAGCGAACAGGAUUAGAUACCCCCGUAGUC
rnacentral:rRNA from 1 species